AUGCAAGCGGAUAUGGCCAAACUGCAUGAUGAUGUUCAUUCAGUCAGUUCCAAGCAAGGAGAAAUAUCACUGCAAGUGGGAAGCGUAGAGCAAGUAGUUUUGGACUUGGGCAAGCAAUUAUCCACUAUAAAUGCAAUGCUACAGACCUUGGUUAAGGCUCCUAUACAGAGAGAGACCUCAGAUCCAGCUUCGAGUUCACAGCAAGUACCCAAGUCCCCAACAGUGUCUCAAGAACAAUUGCAAAACCAAGCACUCAGGACAGAGCAACUCAAGAAACAACUUGAAGCAGAAAAAGAGAAGACCAGACAGUUGGAAGAGUUACAAAUGCAGAACUUGCCUCCCAUAAGAACAAACAGGCCUGCAGCUCCACCAGGAUUCAAUCAACAAAGUAGAAUAGAGCACGCUAGUCCCUUAGGAACCCAACUGGCUGCCAGGCACAAUGCUUAUACACCUACAUUUCAGCAGCACUACCAACAAAACAGAUACAGACAGUUGUGGUAG
rnacentral:rRNA from 1 species